UACGUAGGGGGCGAGCGUUAUCCGGAUUUACUGGGUGUAAAGGGAGCGUAGACGGCCAUGCAAGCUCGGUGUGAAAGGUGCGGGCACAACCCGCAGACUGCACUGAGAACUGUAUGGCUGGAGUGCCGGAGGGGCAGGCGGAAUUCCUGGUGUAGCGGCGAAAUGCGUAGAUAUCAGGAGGAACACCGGUGGCGAAGGCGGCCUGCUGGACGGCGACUGACGUUGAGGCUCGAAAGCGUGGGGAGCGAACAGG
rnacentral:rRNA from 1 species